rnacentral:rRNA from 1 species
GACCCCAUGUCAGGCGGGAUCACCCGCUGAGUUUAA